rnacentral:rRNA from 1 species
ACUCUCGACAACGGAUAUCUCGGCUCUCGCAUCGAUGAAGAACGUACAUGCGAUACUUGGUGUGAAUUGCAGAAUCCCGUGAACCAUCGAGUCUUUGAACGCAAGUUGCGCCCAAAGCCACUUGGCUGAGGGCACGUCUGCUUGGGUGUCACGC